ACGACCUUACUUGAACAGGAUCUGUUCUAUAGGCUCGUACCUCUGUAUCCUUAAGUUCUAAGGAGACAGGAACUGAAGUCUGGUGGAUGAACCAUGACCCUGUGAUCAGAGCGUGAUUAACGGUGUAGAUGGUCUUUGUCACUCCGGACUGGACUCACCUUCAACUGUAGAGGAUCGUUCUCAGUCGUUCACGACCUGGGAUGGUCGCAGGGUUGUCUGACAGACU